rnacentral:rRNA from 1 species
GGGUUGUGAGGUUAAGCGACUAAGCGUACACGGUGGAUGCCCUGGCAGUCAGAGGCGAUGAAGGGCGUGCUAAUCUGCGAUAAGCGCCGGUAAGGUGAUAUGAACCGUUAUAACCGGCGAUACCCGAAUGGGGAAACCCAGUGUGAUUCGUCACACUAUCAUUAACUGAAUCCAUAGGUUAAUGAGGCGAACCGGGGGAACUGAAACAUCUAAGUACCCCGAGGAAAAGAAAUCAACCGAGAUUCCCCCAGUAGCGGCGAGCGAACGGGGAGGAGCCCAGAGCCUGAAUCAGCAUGUGUGUUAGUGGAAGCGUCUGGAAAGGCGCGCGAUACAGGGUGACAGCCCCGUACACAAAAGCGCAUGUGCUGUGAGCUCGAUGAGUAGGGCGGGACACGUGGUAUCCUGUCUGAAUAUGGGGGGACCAUCCUCCAAGGCUAAAUACUCCUGACUGACCGAUAGUGAACCAGUACCGUGAGGGAAAGGCGAAAAGAACCCCGGCGAGGGGAGUGAAAAAGAACCUGAAACCGUGUACGUACAAGCAGUGGGAGCCCCACCACUAAGCCAGUGGUGAACUCCACAUCCGCAUCCUUUGCUGAGGAUACGGUUAACGGAGCGAAAGCGACGUUCAACCGCAAAACAAGCAGAGGGGGCUUAGUGGUGGGGUGACUGCGUACCUUUUGUAUAAUGGGUCAGCGACUUAUAUUCUGUAGCAAGGUUAACCGAAUAGGGGAGCCGGAGGGAAACCGAGUCUUAAUUGGGCGUUAAGUUGCAGGGUAUAGACCCGAAACCCGGUGAUCUAGCCAUGGGCAGGUUGAAGGUUGGGUAACACUAACUGGAGGACCGAACCGACUAAUGUUGAAAAAUUAGCGGAUGACCUGUGGCUGGGGGUGAAAGGCCAAUCAAACCGGGAGAUAGCUGGUUCUCCCCGAAAGCUAUUUAGGUAGCGCCUCGUGAAUUCAUCUCCGGGGGUAGAGCACUGUUUCGGCUAGGGGGCCAUCCCGGCUUACCAACCCGAUGCAAACUGCGAAUACCGGAGAAUGUUAUCACGGGAGACACACGGCGGGUGCUAACGUCCGUCGUGAAGAGGGAAACAACCCAGACCGCCAGCUAAGGUCCCAAAGUCAUGGUUAAGUGGGAAACGAUGUGGGAAGGCCCAGACAGCCAGGAUGUUGGCUUAGAAGCAGCCAUCAUUUAAAGAAAGCGUAAUAGCUCACUGGUCGAGUCGGCCUGCGCGGAAGAUGUAACGGGGCUAAACCAUGCACCGAAGCUGCGGCAGCGAACGUAUCACUUAAAGCGAUUCAGCGGGUUACGAUUGACGGAGCGAAGCGACGUCAAAGCGUAUACAAAGUCGAGUCGGUUUAAGGAUACGUUCGUUGGGUAGGGGAGCGUUCUGUAAGCCCGUGAAGGUGGCCUGUGAGGGUUGCUGGAGGUAUCAGAAGUGCGAAUGCUGACAUAAGUAACGAUAAAGCGGGUGAAAAGCCCGCUCGCCGGAAGACCAAGGGUUCCUGUCCAACGUUAAUCGGGGCAGGGUGAGUCGACCCCUAAGGCGAGGCCGAAAGGCGUAGUCGAUGGGAAACGGGUUAAUAUUCCCGUACUUGGUGUUACUGCGAAGGGGGGACGGAGAAGGCUAUGUUGGCCGGGCGACGGUUGUCCCGGUUUAAGCGUGUAGGUGUGUGUUCCAGGUAAAUCCGGUUCACUUUAACACUGAGGCGUGACGACGAGGCACUACGGUGCUGAAGCAACAAAUGCCCUGCUUCCAGGAAAAGCCUCUAAGCAUCAGGUAACACGAAAUCGUACCCCAAACCGACACAGGUGGUCAGGUAGAGAAUACCAAGGCGCUUGAGAGAACUCGGGUGAAGGAACUAGGCAAAAUGGUGCCGUAACUUCGGGAGAAGGCACGCUGACACGUAGGUGAAGUGAUUUACUCAUGGAGCUGAAGUCAGUCGAAGAUACCAGCUGGCUGCAACUGUUUAUUAAAAACACAGCACUGUGCAAACACGAAAGUGGACGUAUACGGUGUGACGCCUGCCCGGUGCCGGAAGGUUAAUUGAUGGGGUCAGCGCAAGCGAAGCUCCUGAUCGAAGCCCCGGUAAACGGCGGCCGUAACUAUAACGGUCCUAAGGUAGCGAAAUUCCUUGUCGGGUAAGUUCCGACCUGCACGAAUGGCGUAAUGAUGGCCAGGCUGUCUCCACCCGAGACUCAGUGAAAUUGAACUCGCUGUGAAGAUGCAGUGUACCCGCGGCAAGACGGAAAGACCCCGUGAACCUUUACUAUAGCUUGACACUGAACAUUGAGCCUUGAUGUGUAGGAUAGGUGGGAGGCUUUGAAGUGUGGACGCCAGUCUGCAUGGAGCCGACCUUGAAAUACCACCCUUUAAUGUUUGAUGUUCUAACGUGGACCCGUAAUCCGGGUUGCGGACAGUGUCUGGUGGGUAGUUUGACUGGGGCGGUCUCCUCCUAAAGAGUAACGGAGGAGCACGAAGGUUGGCUAAUCCUGGUCGGACAUCAGGAGGUUAGUGCAAUGGCAUAAGCCAGCUUGACUGCGAGCGUGACGGCGCGAGCAGGUGCGAAAGCAGGUCAUAGUGAUCCGGUGGUUCUGAAUGGAAGGGCCAUCGCUCAACGGAUAAAAGGUACUCCGGGGAUAACAGGCUGAUACCGCCCAAGAGUUCAUAUCGACGGCGGUGUUUGGCACCUCGAUGUCGGCUCAUCACAUCCUGGGGCUGAAGUAGGUCCCAAGGGUAUGGCUGUUCGCCAUUUAAAGUGGUACGCGAGCUGGGUUUAGAACGUCGUGAGACAGUUCGGUCCCUAUCUGCCGUGGGCGCUGGAGAACUGAGGGGGGCUGCUCCUAGUACGAGAGGACCGGAGUGGACGCAUCACUGGUGUUCGGGUUGUCAUGCCAAUGGCACUGCCCGGUAGCUAAAUGC